GUUGGGUUGGCCCUGCAGCUACUGGUGUUGGGACUACUUCAGUGGAAGCUGCAACUGGUGCUCAGUGUGCUCUUGCUUCUGACCUCACAUUUUCAUUGAAAUUGUGCCCCGAGAAGUGUUGAUGCUGUGAUCCGAGAGUCCUGCUCAUAAUCUGAUAGAGGAAUAAGCUGCAAUAAUAACACAUUAUCUGCCAGCCUCCUGCCAGUGUUCCAUAAGAAUUGGCAUAAUCUGCAUGUGACUCUACAAGUGCUUAUUAUAAUUGGGCCAGACAACUCAGAGAAAGCUGGCUAUCAGAGUUGAGACAUAGACUUGCUUCCAAGCCUUAUGAUUAAUACUUAUACAGAUGCAGUUAGAACUUUAAAAUAACUUUAAAAUGCUGACUUAG
ensembl:lncRNA